UUUUUCUUAUUUUCUUUUUCUUUUUUUACUGCCGAUUUAUGCUCCUCUUUUCGUUUGUUGUCUGUUUUUGCUGCUCGUUUGUUCGUCUCUUGCAAGUACGGAGAACAGGGCUGGGGACGUGGCGUGUACGGAGGCAAAGGCGCACGCAUGAGGGCAGAGGCUUGGCACGCGCGGAGGAGUUGGGCUGCUGCGGCGCUGGGGCUUGCUCGCUGCUAGGGUUUCUGCCAUUAGGUUGGGAUUUGGGCUGAGUUGGGCCAUUAGGUGUUUAAGAUAGUGGGCCGAAUUGGGCUGGUAGUUUGGGUUAUUUUUGGACUGCUAUUUUAUUUAGUAUUUUUUAGCUAUUGGGCCAAUGUAAAUGGACUUUAAUAAAUUUGUUUUUAUUUUUAUUAGGCCGGGCAAAUUGGUUAUUA
rnacentral:lncRNA from 1 species